GGGAGUAGCUCAGCGGUAGAGCAUCUCGUUGCCAACGAGAAGGUCGCCGGUUCGACUCCGGUCUCCC
rnacentral:tRNA from 1 species